UACGGAGGGUGCAAGCGUUGUCCGGAUUUAUUGGGUUUAAAGGGUGCGUAGGCGGCUUAAUAAGUCAGUGGUGAAAUCCAACAGCUUAACUGUUGAACUGCCAUUGAUACUGUUAGGCUUGAGUACAAUCGAGGUAAGUGGAAUUUAUGGUGUAGCGGUGAAAUGCAUAGAUACCAUAAAGAACACCGAUAGCGAAGGCAGCUUACUAGAAUGUAACUGACGCUGAGGCACGAAAGCAUGGGGAGCAAACAGG
rnacentral:rRNA from 1 species